CAGGCUUAACACAUGCAAGUCGAGGGGCAGCAUGGUCUUAGCUUGCUAAGGCCGAUGGCGACCGGCGCACGGGUGAGUAACACGUAUCCAACCUGCCGUCUACUCUUGGACAGCCUUCUGAAAGGAAGAUUAAUACAAGAUGGCAUCAUGAGUCCGCAUGUUCACAUGAUUAAAGGUAUUCCGGUAGACGAUGGGGAUGCGUUCCAUUAGAUAGUAGGCGGGGUAACGGCCCACCUAGUCUUCGAUGGAUAGGGGUUCUGAGAGGAAGGUCCCCCACAUUGGAACUGAGACACGGUCCAAACUCCUACGGGAGGCAGCAGUGAGGAAUAUUGGUCAAUGGGCGAGAGCCUGAACCAGCCAAGUAGCGUGAAGGAUGACUGCCCUAUGGGUUGUAAACUUCUUUUAUAAAGGAAUAAAGUCGGGUAUGCAUACCCGUUUGCAUGUACUUUAUGAAUAAGGAUCGGCUAACUCCGUGCCAGCAGCCGCGGUAAUACGGAGGAUCCGAGCGUUAUCCGGAUUUAUUGGGUUUAAAGGGAGCGUAGAUGGAUGUUUAAGUCAGUUGUGAAAGUUUGCGGCUCAACCGUAAAAUUGCAGUUGAUACUGGAUAUCUUGAGUGCAGUUGAGGCAGGCGGAAUUCGUGGUGUAGCGGUGAAAUGCUUAGAUAUCACGAAGAACUCCGAUUGCGAAGGCAGCCUGCUAAGCUGCAACUGACAUUGAGGCUCGAAAGUGUGGGUAUCAAACAGGAUUAGAUACCCUGGUAGUCCACACGGUAAACGAUGAAUACUCGCUGUUUGCGAUAUACAGCAAGCGGCCAAGCGAAAGCGUUAAGUAUUCCACCUGGGGAGUACGCCGGCAACGGUGAAACUCAAAGGAAUUGACGGGGGCCCGCACAAGCGGAGGAACAUGUGGUUUAAUUCGAUGAUACGCGAGGAACCUUACCCGGGCUUAAAUUGCAGAUGAAUUACGGUGAAAGCCGUAAGCCGCAAGGCAUCUGUGAAGGUGCUGCAUGGUUGUCGUCAGCUCGUGCCGUGAGGUGUCGGCUUAAGUGCCAUAACGAGCGCAACCCUUGUUGUCAGUUACUAACAGGUUCCGCUGAGGACUCUGACAAGACUGCCAUCGUAAGAUGUGAGGAAGGUGGGGAUGACGUCAAAUCAGCACGGCCCUUACGUCCGGGGCUACACACGUGUUACAAUGGGGGGGUACAGAGGGCCGCUACCACGCGAGUGGAUGCCAAUCCCAAAAACCUCUCUCAGUUCGGACUGGAGUCUGCAACCCGACUCCACGAAGCUGGAUUCGCUAGUAAUCGCGCAUCAGCCACGGCGCGGUGAAUACGUUCCCGGGCCUUGUACACACCGCCCGUCAAGCCAUGGGAGCCGGGGGUACCUGAAGUGCGUAACCGCGAGGAGCGCCCUAGGGUAAAACUGGUGACUGGGGCUAAGUC
rnacentral:rRNA from 1 species